rnacentral:tRNA from 1 species
GGGCCUGUGGCGGAAUCGGCAGACGCAGCGGACUUAAAAUCCGCGGGUCGCCUCGGCGACCAUGUGGGUUCGACUCCCACCGGGCCCA